UACAGAGGGGGCAAGCGUUGUUCGGAAUUACUGGGCGUAAAGGGCGCGUAGGCGGCCUGCUAAGUCGAACGUGAAAUCCCCGGGCUCAACCCGGGAACUGCGUCCGAUACUGGCAGGCUUGAAUCCGGGAGAGGGAUGUGGAAUUCCAGGUGUAGCGGUGAAAUGCGUAGAUAUCUGGAGGAACACCGGUGGCGAAGGCGGCAUCCUGGACCGGUAUUGACGCUGAGGCGCGAAAGCUAGGGGAGCAAACAGG
rnacentral:rRNA from 1 species